GGGCCCGCACAAGCGGUGGAGUAUGUGGUUUAAUUCGAUGCAACGCGAAGAACCUUACCUUCCCUUGACAUCCCGGGACAACCUCAGAGAUGAGGCUUUCUCUUCGGAGACUCGGUGACAGAUGCUGCAUGGCUGUCGUCAGCUCGUGUUGUGAAAUGUUCGGUUAAGUCCGGCAACGAGCGCAACCCCCUGUCCUUAGUUACCAUCAUUAAGUUGGGGACUCUAGGGAGACUGCCGGUGUUAAACCGGAGGAAGGCGGGAUGACGUCAAGUCCUCAUGGGCUCUUACGGGAAGGGCUACACACGUACUACAAUGGCAUAUACAGAGGGCUGCCAACUCGCGAGAGUGAGCGAAUCCCAUAAAGUAUGUCGUAG
rnacentral:rRNA from 1 species